AGCCCUGGAAACGGGGUCUAAUACCGGCAUAACACCGGCUUCCGCAUGGGAGCUGGUUAAAAGCUCCGGCGGUGAAGGAUGAGCCCGCGGCCUAUCAGCUUGUUGGUGGGGUAAUGGCCUACCAAGGCGACGACGGGUAGCCGGCCUGAGAGGGCGACCGGCCACACUGGGACUGAGACACGGCCCAGACUCCUACGGGAGGCAGCAGUGGGGAAUAUUGCACAAUGGGCGAAAGCCUGAUGCAGCGACGCCGCGUGAGGGAUGACGGCCUUCGGGUUGUAAACCUCUUUCAGCAGGGAAGAAGCGAAAGUGACGGUACCUGCAGAAGAAGCGCCGGCUAACUACGUGCCAGCAGCCGCGGUAAUACGUAGGGCGCAAGCGUUGUCCGGAAUUAUUGGGCGUAAAGAGCUCGUAGGCGGCUUGUCACGUCGGGUGUGAAAGCCCGGGGCUUAACCCCGGGUCUGCAUCCGAUACGGGCAGGCUAGAGUGUGGUAGGGGAGAUCGGAAUUCCUGGUGUAGCGGUGAAAUGCGCAGAUAUCAGGAGGAACACCGGUGGCGAAGGCGGAUCUCUGGGCCAUUACUGACGCUGAGGAGCGAAAG
rnacentral:rRNA from 1 species